AACAACCCAGCCUGAAGCGUUGUCUCAACCUUGUCUGUUCAAAAAACAGGUGAGCAAAGUUUCAGGUGUGUUCGUUU
rnacentral:pre_miRNA from 1 species